GGGGUCUUAGUUUAGUCAGAAAAACUCUCGGUUUGCACCCGAAAGUGAAGGGUGCAAAGCCCUUAGACUCCACCA
rnacentral:tRNA from 2 species